GACGAACGCUGGCGGCGUGCUUAACACAUGCAAGUCGAACGGAAAGACCAUGCUCUUGUGGGGUGCUCGUGUGGCGAACGGGUGAGAAUCACGUGAGUAACAUGCCCUUGAAUUUGGGAUAACUUCAGGAAACUGGGGCUAAUACAGGAUAGAAGAUACUGCAGCGUGGGGGGGGAUGGAAAGUUUCGGCGGUUGGGGAUGGACUCGAGGCUUAUCCGCUUGUUGGGGGGGUUGUGGCUUACCAAGGCUGUGAAGGGUAGCCGGCCUGAGAGGGUGACCGGCCACAUGGCGCCUGAGAGACGGCCCAGACUCCUACGGUAGGCAGCGGUGGAGAAUUUUGCGCAAUGGGCGGAAGCCUGUGGCAGCAACGCCGCGUUCGUGAUGACGUCCUACGGGUUGAAAACCGCUUUCUCCUUUGACGAACCGUGAUUGACGGUAACGGGUAAGGAAGCACCGGCUAACUACGUG
rnacentral:rRNA from 1 species